rnacentral:rRNA from 1 species
GACGAACGCUGGCGGCGCGCUUAACACAUGCAAGUCGAGCGAAGCGGCGGACGGGUGAGUAACACGUGAGUAACCUGCCUUAGACAUUGGGAUAGCCUCGGGAAACCGGGAUUAAUACCAAAUGGUCUAAGAUGGACUCGCGUCCCAUUAGCUCGUUGGUGAGGUAACGGCCCACCAAGGCGACGAUGGGUAGCCGGCCUGAGAGGGGGAACGGCAACAUUGGAGAGGAGAAACGGUCCAAACUCUACGGGAGGCAGCAGGGGGGAAGAUUGCAAAAUGGAGGGAACUCGGAUGCAGCGACGACGCGUGAACGAAGAAGGCUUUGUAGUCGUAAAGUUCUUUGAUAUGGGAAGCGGUACCAUAAGAAAAAGCCCCGGCUAACUACGUGCCAGCCGCCGCGGUAAUUC